AACGAACGCUGGCGGCAGGCUUAACACAUGCAAGUCGAGCGAGACCUUCGGGUCUAUCGGCGGACGGGUGAGUAACGCGUGGGAACGUGCCCUUCUCUACGGACUAGCCCCGGGAAAGUGGGAGUAAUACCGUAUAGGCCCUUUAGGGGAAAGAUUUAUCGGAGAAGGAUCGGCCCGCGUUGGAUUAGGUGGUUGGUAGGGUAAUGGGCCACCAAGGCGACGAUUCAUAGCUGGGGUGAGGGGAUGGUCAGCCACACUGGGACUGAGACACGGCCCAGACUCCUACGGGAGGCAGCAGAGGGGAAUCUUAGACAAUGGGGGCAACCCUGAUCGAGCCAUGCCGGGUGAAUGAUGAAGGCCGUAGGGAUGUAAUGCUCUUUCAGCUGGGAAGAUAAUGACGGUACCAGCAGAAGAAGCCCCGGCUAACUACGUG
rnacentral:rRNA from 1 species